ACACUUAUCUGGCAGGGGAGUACCAUAGUCAUGGGCUUUCCCAGGGCAAGGCCUAUCCAUUGUAUCCCAGAUGAGCCGACCCCUGAGAUUUCCCCAAAUGUGGGAAAUUUAACUGUAUUUUUUAAAAAAGAAAAAGAAAUAGUUACUUUCA
rnacentral:snRNA from 1 species